GAACAUACCAUUUUGUUGCCUCGGCGGUGCCUGUUCCGACAGCCCGCCAGAGGACCCCAAACCCAAACUUCCUUGAGUGAGUCUUCUGAGUAACCGAUUAAAUCAAUCAAAACUUUCAACAACGGAUCUCUUGGUUCUGGCAUCGAUGAAGAACGCAGCGAAAUGCGAUAAGUAAUGUGAAUUGCAGAAUUCAGUGAAUCAUCGAAUCUUUGAACGCACAUUGCGCCCGCCAGUAUUCUGGCGGGCAUGCCUGUUCGAGCGUCAUUACAUCCCUCAAGCCCCCGGGCUUGGUGUUGGGGAUCGGCGAGCCUCAGCGCCCGCCGUCCCCUAAAUUUAGUGGCGGUCACGCUGUAACUUCCUCUGCGUAGUAGCACACUUAGCACUGGGAAACAGCGCGGCCACGCCGUAAAACCCCCCAACUUUUGAACGUUUGACCUCGAAUCAGGUAGGACUACCCGCUGAACUUAAGCAUAUCAAA
rnacentral:rRNA from 1 species